UUUAGCAUCUGGCUUAUUCGCCAUGAUGCCAUUACCUACGGCAUGUAAUAAGUGCGUUUUACCUAAGCCGGUUCCGCCAUA
rnacentral:antisense_RNA from 1 species